rnacentral:rRNA from 1 species
ACGUAGGGAGCUAGCGUUGUCCGGAAUUACUGGGCGUAAAGAGCGCGUAGGCGGGUAUUUAAGUCAGAUGUGAAAACUAUAGGCUCAACCUGUAGCCUGCAUUUGAAACUGGAUAUCUUGAGGGCAGGAGAGGAAAGUGGAAUUCCUAGUGUAGCGGUGAAAUGCGUAGAUAUUAGGAGGAACACCAGUGGCGAAGGCGACUUUCUGGACUGUACCUGACGCUGAGGCGCGAAAGCGUGGGGAGCGAACGG